AUUGAACGCUGGCGGCAGGCUUAACACAUGCAAGUCGAGCGAGCGGCGGACGGGUGAGUAAUGUCUGGGAAACUGCCUGAUGGAGGGGGAUAACUACUGGAAACGGUAGCUAAUACCGCAUACCAUCAGAGGUGCCCAGAUGGGAUUAGCUAGUUGGUGGGGUAAUGGCUCACCUAGGCGACGAUCCCUAGCUGGUUUGAGAGGAUGACCAGCCACACUGGAACUGAGACACGGUCCAGACUCCUACGUGAGGCAGCAGUGGGGAAUAUUGGACAAUGGGGGCAAUCCUGAUGCAGCCAUGCCGCGUGUAUGAAGAAGGCCUUCGGGUUGUAAAGCACUUUCAGCGAGGAGGCGGUACUCGCAGAAGAAGCACCGGCUAACUCCGUGCCAGCAGCCGCGGUAAUUC
rnacentral:rRNA from 1 species